rnacentral:tRNA from 1 species
GGGGCUGUAGCUCAGUGGGAGAGCACCUGCUUUGCAAGCAGGGGGUCGGGAGUUCAACCCUCCUCAGCUCCA